rnacentral:rRNA from 1 species
AACGAACGCUGGCGGCAGGCCUAACACAUGCAAGUCGAACGCUGUAGCAAUACAGAGUGGCAGACGGGUGAGUAACGCGUGGGAACCUUCCCAGUGGUGCGGAAUAGCUCAGGGGAAACUUGAGGUAAUACCGCAUAAGCCCCUAGGGGGAAAGAUUUAUCGCCAUUGGAUGGGCCCGCGUCGGAUUAGCUAGUUGGUGAGGUAAUGGCUCACCAAGGCAACGAUCCGUAGCUGGUUUGAGAGAAUGACCAGCCACACUGGGACUGAGACACGGCCCAGACUCC